UGGAGCAUGUGGUUUAAUCGAUGAUACGCGAGGAACCUUACCUGGGCUCAAAUGUAUGUUGACGUAGUCUGAAAGGGAUACUUCUUCGGACAAUAUACAAGGUGCUGCAUGGUUGUCGUCAGCUCGUGCCGUGAGGUGUCGGGUUAAGUCCCAUAACGAGCGCAACCCCUAUCAUUAGUUGCCAUCAGGUCAAGCUGGGGACUCUAAUGAAACUGCCUACGCAAGUAGUGAGGAAGGUGGGGAUGACGUCAAAUCAGCACGGCCCUUACGUCCAGGGCUACACACGUGCGUACAAUGGCCGGUACAAAGGGCAGCUACCUGGUGACAGGAUGCUAAUCUCAAAAGCCGGUCUCAGUUCGGAUCGGAGUCUGCAACCCGACUCCGUGAAGUUGGAUUCGCUAGUAAUCGCGCAUCAGCCAUGGCGCGGUGAAUACGUUCCCGGGCCUU
rnacentral:rRNA from 1 species